rnacentral:rRNA from 1 species
GACGAACGCUGGCGGCGUGCUUAACACAUGCAAGUCGAACGGAAAGGCCCUGCUUUUGUGGGGUGCUCGAGUGGCGAACGGGUGAGUAACACGUGGGUAACCUGCCCUUGACUUUGGGAUAACUUCAGGAAACUGGGGCUAAUACCGGAUAGGAGCUCCUGCUGCAUGGUGGGGGUUGGAAAGUUUCGGCGGUUGGGGAUGGACUCGCGGCGUAUCAGCUUGUUGGUGGGGUAGUGGCUUACCAAGGCUUUGACGGGUAGCCGGGCUGAGAGGGUGACCGGCCACAUUGGGACUGAGAUACGGCCCAGACUCCUACGGGAGGCAGCAGUGGGGAAUAUUGCACAAUGGGCGGAAGCCUGAUGCAGCCACGCCGCGUGCGGGAUGACGGCCUUCGGGUUGUAUACCGCUUUCGCCUGUGACGAAGCGUGAGUGACGGUAAUGGGUAAAGAAGCACCGGCUAACUACGUG